CUUUUUCAUUUUCUUGACGAAUCUGCUCCUCCUCCACCGCGUUUUCUCACCACCGACGAUGCUACCGCCAAAAAGGUUAAUCCCGCGUUUCUGGUUCAUCAACAACAAGACCAUCUUCUGGUUGCGUGGCUUCUUGGCUCCAUGACCACACCGAUCCUGACCAAAAUGGUAGGGUUAUGCUCCGCAUCAGAAAUUUGGGGGAAAUUACAGGUUUA
rnacentral:lncRNA from 1 species